UAGGGGAUUCAGAACAGAAGAAGCUGC
rnacentral:piRNA from 1 species